GGACGACGCCCGCUGCUCGGUAUGCGGCUUGAAGAAUCAUACUAGUGAAAUGUGCCGGUACAAAAAUUAUAAGUGCCAAAAGUGUGGUGUUAAAGGCCAUUUGAAGAAAGUGUGCGGUUCUAGUGGUAAAGGUUCGUGUGUGUAUCACGUUGACGCGGGCUCGGAAUGUGACGAGAAUAAGGUCAAGGACACGGCAUGUCAGGAAUGUCAGAACUUUAAUAUAAGGUUCCAAAAAUUAAGUGUGGAGGAAUGAUGUGUAUGCGCGUCUACGCGCAUAAUAUAUAGAACCUACCUACAUUGUACUCGUAGUAACAAAAGUUGAUGUCUGUGUCGCUGUCAUCGUUUAGUAAUAAACUCGAGUUCAAAGCGA